CUCUCUCCCUCUCUCUCUCUCUCUCUCUCUCUCUCUCUCUCUCUCUCUCUCUCUCUCUCUCUCUCUCUCUCUCCUGCCUGCUGCCUCCUGAUUCGGAUAUAAAGUUCUCAGCUACAGAUACAGGGCAGGAAGCCUGAAUGCUUCCCACCAUGAAGAUCACGGACUGAUCCUCCAAAAUUGUACAAGCCCCCAGGACAUAGAAGAACCAAGCAGGAGAUCAGUGGGUGCCAACUUCAGGAGGCCUUCUAAUCUACAUUUUUACUUUCUUAUUCUUGGACUCUUCGACUUAUUGGAUCUUUUUCACCAACCAGAGGGAAGCCUCACUUCCUCGUCCUAUCCAGCUCAAAAUGUCACUGUCCCAGAUCACAGGACUGCUUGGAGGUGGGUUACUAUAUCUCGUCGUUUCUGCUAUUGUCCUUCUGUCCAAGUCUGCAUUCGGGACUGGUAACACCCAUCGGGAAACAGGUCCUAACAAUUACUCAGAUGGAGACCCGAAAACAUAUGGAAACCAUUCAAAGAAAAAUUAAGAAAAAUCCACCAUGUAAUCAAGCAAAUCUAAAGAUUCCAAAGAGCAUCUAUCACCGGAACCCAAGGAAGGCCACCUCCUUCUGUGCUUUCAUAACCCAGGAUCUCUCUUUCCUUAGAAAUGAGGAAAUAACCCAUUGUUUGCACCUUGAAUCUUGUGAUUUGAUUCAAUUUGAUAAAUCAUAGUCAAUUAAAUAAAUAAAAAUUUAAUAUGGCUUUUAACCAAAAG